AAAACUGAUGAUUUUUAUGAUACAUCUCAAUGAUACAGAGAUUAGCAUGGUUCCUGCACAAGGAUAAUGUGCAAAUUUGUGAAAUGCUCCAUAUUUUU
ensembl:snRNA U6 U6 spliceosomal RNA